GCAGUCGUGGCCGAGUGGUUAAGGCGAUGGACAAGAAAUCCAUUGUGGUCUCCCCGCACAGGUUCGAAUCCUGUCGACUGCG
rnacentral:tRNA from 2 species